CACGUAGGGCGCAAGCGUUGUCCGGAAUUAUUGGGCGUAAAGAGCUCGUAGGCGGCUCGUUGCGUCGGCUGUGAAAACCCGCAGCUCAACUGUGGGCCUGCAGCUGAUACGGGCGGGCUGGGAUUCGGUAGGGGAGACUGGAAUUCCUGGUGUAGCGGUGAAAUGCGCAGAUAUCAGGAGGAACACCGGUGGCGAAGGCGGGUCUCUGGGCCGAUAUCGACGCUGAGGAGCGAAAGCGUGGGGAGCGAACAGG
rnacentral:rRNA from 1 species